UACGGAGGGUGGCAAGCGUUGUCCGGAUUUAUUGGGUUUAAAGGGUGCGUAGGCGGCCCGGUAAGUCAGUGGUGAAAGCCUCCAGCUCAACUGGAGAACUGCCAUUGAUACUGCCGGGCUUGAGUACAGACGAGGUUGGCGGAAUUGAUUGUGUAGCGGUGAAAUGCAUAGAUACAAUCAAGAACUCCGAUUGCGUAGGCAGCUAACUAGGCUGUAACUGACGCUGAGGCACGAAAGCGUGGGGAGCGAACAGG
rnacentral:rRNA from 1 species